UAAGCGGAGGAAAAGAAACUAACAAGGAUUCCCCUAGUAACGGCGAGUGAAGUGGGAAAAGCUCAACUUUGUAAUCUGGCAGCUUCGCUGUCCGAGUUGUAGUCUCGAGAAGUGUUUUCCGCGCUGGCAUGUGUAUGAGUCUGUUGGAAUACAGCGUCAUAGAGGGUGAGAACCCCGUUCAUGACACAUCUCCCAGUGCUUUGUGAUACACUUUCGAUGAGUCGAGUUGUUUGGGAAUGCAGCUCAAAAUGGGUGGUAAAUUCCAUCUAAAGCUAAAUAUUGGCGAGAGACCGAUAGCAAACAAGUACCGUGAGGGAAAGAUGAAAAGCACUUUGGAAAGAGAGUUAAAAGUACGUGAAAUUGUUGAAAGGGAAACGCUUGAAGUCAGACGUGCGCAGCGCGAUUCAGCUCUGUUUCGGCAGAGUGUAUUUCGUGCUAUUGCAGGCCAGCAUCGGUUUUGCGAGCCGGAUAAAGGUUAGGGGAAGGUAGCAUCUUCGGGUGUGUUAUAGCCCUUAACUGAAUACGGAUUGUGAGACCGAGGGACGCAGCACGGCGCAAGCCAGAGGGUCCGCCCUCUUCGUGCUUAGGAUGCUGGUGAAAUGGCUUUAAACGACCCGUCUUGAAACACG
rnacentral:rRNA from 1 species